UCUUAGAUAGUUUAACGAUAGAACUUUGAGCUGACAACUCAAACAAUGUGGGUUCAAAUCCUACCUUAAAAG
rfam:Sphaeroforma arctica JP610 cont1.4592, whole genome shotgun sequence.